UACGUAGGGUGCGAGCGUUGUCCGGAAUUACUGGGCGUAAAGAGCUCGUAGGUGGUUUGUCGCGUUGUUCGUGAAAACUCACAGCUUAACUGUGGGCGUGCGGGCGAUACGGGCAGACUGGAGUACUGCAGGGGAGACUGGAAUUCCUGGUGUAGCGGUGGAAUGCGCAGAUAUCAGGAGGAACACCGGUGGCGAAGGCGGGUCUCUGGGCAGUAACUGACGCUGAGGAGCGAAAGCGUGGGGGAGCGAACAGGAUAGAAAACCCGGG
rnacentral:rRNA from 1 species